rnacentral:rRNA from 1 species
GAUGAACGCUGGCGGCGUGCCUAAUACAUGCAAGUCGAGCGAACGGACGAGAAGCUUGCUUCUCUGAUGUUAGCGGCGGACGGGUGAGUAACACGUGGAUAACCUACCUAUAAGACUGGGAUAACUUCGGGAAACCGGAGCUAAUACCGGAUAAUAUUUUGAACCGCAUGGUUCAAAAGUGAAAGACGGUCUUGCUGUCACUUAUAGAUGGAUCCGCGCUGCAUUAGCUAGUUGGUAAGGUAACGGCUUACCAAGGCAACGAUGCAUAGCCGACCUGAGAGGGUGAUCGGCCACACUGGAACUGAGACACGGUCCAGACUCCUACGGGAGGCAGCAGUAGGGAAUCUUCCGCAAUGGGCGAAAGCCUGACGGAGCAACGCCGCGUGAGUGAUGAAGGUCUUCGGAUCGUAAAACUCUGUUAUUAGGGAAGAACAUAUGUGUAAGUAACUGUGCACAUCUUGGCGGUACCUAAUCAGAAAGCCACGGCUAACUACGUGCCAGCAGCCGCGGUAAUACGUAGGUGGCAAGCGUUAUCCGGAAUUAUUGGGCGUAAAGCGCGCGUAGGCGGUUUUUUAAGUCUGAUGUGAAAGCCCACGGCUCAACCGUGGAGGGUCAUUGGAAACUGGAAAACUUGAGUGCAGAAGAGGAAAGUGGAAUUCCAUGUGUAGCGGUGAAAUGCGCAGAGAUAUGGAGGAACACCAGUGGCGAAGGCGACUUUCUGGUCUGUAACUGACGCUGAUGUGCGAAAGCGUGGGGAUCAAACAGGAUUAGAUACCCUGGUAGUCCACGCCGUAAACGAUGAGUGCUAAGUGUUAGGGGGUUUCCGCCCCUUAGUGCUGCAGCUAACGCAUUAAGCACUCCGCCUGGGGAGUACGACCGCAAGGUUGAAACUCAAAGGAAUUGACGGGGACCCGCACAAGCGGUGGAGCAUGUGGUUUAAUUCGAAGCAACGCGAAGAACCUUACCAAAUCUUGACAUCCUUUGACAACUCUAGAGAUAGAGCUUUCCCCUUCGGGGGACAAAGUGACAGGUGGUGCAUGGUUGUCGUCAGCUCGUGUCGUGAGAUGUUGGGUUAAGUCCCGCAACGAGCGCAACCCUUAAGCUUAGUUGCCAUCAUUAAGUUGGGCACUCUAAGUUGACUGCCGGUGACAAACCGGAGGAAGGUGGGGAUGACGUCAAAUCAUCAUGCCCCUUAUGAUUUGGGCUACACACGUGCUACAAUGGACAAUACAAAGGGCAGCGAAACCGCGAGGUCAAGCAAAUCCCAUAAAGUUGUUCUCAGUUCGGAUUGUAGUCUGCAACUCGACUACAUGAAGCUGGAAUCGCUAGUAAUCGUAGAUCAGCAUGCUACGGUGAAUACGUUCCCGGGUCU